rnacentral:rRNA from 2 species
UACGAAGGGGGCUAGCGUUGUUCGGAAUCACUGGGCGUAAAGCGCACGUAGGCGGACCGUUAAGUCGGAGGUGAAAGCCUGGGGCUCAACCCCAGAACUGCCUUCGAUACUGGCGGUCUUGAGUAUGGUAGAGGUUGGUGGAACUCCGAGUGUAGAGGUGAAAUUCGUAGAUAUUCGGAAGAACACCAGUGGCGAAGGCGGCCAACUGGACCAUUACUGACGCUGAGGUGCGAAAGCGUGGGGAGCAAAC